rnacentral:rRNA from 1 species
AUGAUUAUCAACCCAGACUCUAUUUGUGCUAAGAUCUUGAAGGCAAAGUAUUUUCCAAACACUGAUUUGUUGCAUGCAGGCUCGAAAAAUGGUUCCUCUGUUACAUGGCAGAGCAUUGUCGCUGGCUUGACUACCUUUAAAAGAGGGUAUAUUUGGCGAAUAGGCUUGGGGGAGAAUGUGAAUAUUUGGGAAGAUCCGUGGAUCCCCUCAAGUCCUGACAGGAAAGUGUUAACCCCGCGGGGCCAUACAAUUAUAUCAAGAGUUGUUGAGCUUAUUGAUCCAGUUACCACACAGUGGGAUGACCAGUUGAUUUGUGAUAUAUUCUAUCCAGUGGAUGCCAACAGAAUUUUACAAAUACCAAUCAAUUUCCAGGCUUUCGAUGAUUUUAUUGCAUGGCACCUGACUAAGCAUGGAAAAUUUUCAGUUAGAACUGCUUAUGUGGAACAAUGGACACACAAGUACAUGGGUCAUUCUCUUGAAGAGUUGACGUCCAGCAGUGCUAAGUAUUCAUUGAUUUGGAAGCAGCUAUGGAGUUUACAAGUGCCAAGGAAAAUUCAAAUAUUAUGCUGGCGAGCGCUAUGUGGAAUCAUUCCAUUAAAAUCCAUACUCGCUAAUAGACACAUCGCUAUUAGUGGAGAAUGUCCGAUCUGUCAUAGGGGGGCUGAGGAUAUGAGACAUAUGCUCUUCCAGUGUGACAUCGCAAGAAAACUAUGGUCGGGGCUGGGACAGAUGGACCGCAUAAACCAUGCUGUGCUAGUGGACAGAUCGGGAUCUGCAAUCCUUGAAUAUCUUUUUCUGGAACCUGACUCGCCCUUGGAUAUCAUGCCAAGUUUAAAUUUUAAGGAGGUAAUUGCAGCAGGGUGUUGGUACAUCUGGUGGUUAUGGAGACAGCAUACUCAUCACGAUUCAUGUCCCCCUGCGUCCAGGUGGACCGCCUCAAUUCUGGCGAUUGUUGGAAACUAUGUAAAAUCUGUGAACAAGAAGCGGGAUGGUUCAGCACAAAUGGAAGAAACCUGA